GGGUUUUGUUUUUCAUCCCAUUUCUACCAAGUACUGAUUUCUAAAACAUUAUUUUCUAUUUUGUUUUCCAUUUUACAAAAGGCUUGUUUAUGGUACCUAUACCAUUUCUUGUCUUCCUCUUGCUUAUUUUACAUUUGAGAAAAACUCUACUUCACUUGAGAAAGUAAGUAGAACAUUUUGACCUCCUAUGUUCCAACUAGUUUCUCUCAACAUUUUCAAAUUCCAUUCCACUUGAGUUCAUUCCCAAUUGAGGUGUUUCAAAUCCCUUUCAAAUAAAUUCUUUUUUUUCAAAUGACAAUCCUUGCACAUCUUAUGCACAUCACUGAUUUACCACAUUGUAUCCCCUCAUCCUCCAAUUCUUGAUCAAAUGGAUGAUCAUUUGAUACUUUCAAAUGGACUCCCUUCAACUGAACCCUAGACUCAGGGAGUAUUUCAAACCACUCCAAAUUGACCUCUUUUUUUUUAGAACAACUUAUUUUUCCUCAUACCUAUCUCACUCCCCCAUUCUUUUCCAUCAACACCUUGACCUCUUGAAUUGAUUUUAUGCCACCAUAUUCACCAUUGGUGUUGUACCUGUACUUCCAUCACUACCCCUCUAAACCUUGGAUCUAUCUCUUUCCAUCAUUUGUUUGCCACAAACAAAGUGAUAACAAAUUUUCCUUUUAAUGCAUAUCACUCUCACUCUCCAUUUCUAUCUCUAUGUCUCAACCUCCAUCAACAUUACCUCCUCAACAUCAUGCACAUGGAUGAUGUGCAUCUCUCUCUCAUUGUUCAUUUUUGUUUGGCAAGAAUGGAGCCGGCCAAUUUGUGUUUGCAUUCAAAAUUCGGCCAGCACUAUCUCCCCUUUUUCUUCUUAUACAAGCCAUGCCUCCCACCUACCCCAAUCCAUAAAUGGGCAGCCUCCCAACCAACUCAAUCAAUGAGGAGGCUACCUCCCAACCAACUCAAUCAAUGAGGAGGCAGCCAACCCACCCCCUCUCCCUCUAUAUAAAGGGGCUUGGCAGCCCACUCCCUCCUCACUUGCUCUCAUUUCCCACUCUCCACUCCUCUCCACUCCUCUCCUUUGCCUCAUUUCUUUUCACUCCCUACUAUUUCCUCCACUCCCUCACACUCUCCUCCUCCACUUCCCCACGAAAAUGGUGCUCCCCUUGCUCCCAUGGCCGGCCAUAGCCAUGGCAAGCCACCAAGAUGAAGCUCUCCCCCCUCCCUCAAGCUCAUCCUCACCAUGAGAGCCUCCCUCUCCUUCUUCUCCCUAACCUUAGAUGGUUUAAUCUCCUCUUCUUCUCCCUCCAUUGCUAAGAUUGGAUCUUGAUGCAGGUGCAUGUUGGUCCAAGCAUGGAGAAGGUUGAGCUAUCCUCAGAUCUGAAGUUCUUGAGCAAAAUCCAAAUCGAGUGGUUCAAAGUUCUGCAGAUAGGGGAUGUUUGGUUUAUACUAUGGUGAUAACCGAGAGAGGAAAUUGCUAAGUUAUGAUACUCUCAUACCUUUACUAGACGCGAGCAAUUCCGGAGAAGAAGAAGAAGUGGAAUUGGACAAGGAUUUUAUUUAUAUUGUUGGGAUUCUUAUAUUGAUGGAGUUGAAGGAGUACAGGGACAAAUAAGCCAAG